UGAGAGUGGAGCGUAUUGGUCCGACCA
rnacentral:sRNA from 1 species